UUUGGUCUCCCUAAAUCAUAAUCCUUAGGUCUUCUGAAGGCAGUGAUGGGAUGAGGUUUGCUUCCUGUAGGGUCAGCCCUGCAUGCAUUUGCUCAGCAGCUCCCCACAGAGGAACAGGCAGUCACCAUUAGAACCACAGUAUGAAAGAGUUCUAAGGUGUGCUUCAGCUUUUCAGAAGUCAAAGUACUGUGGCAGUAUUUGUGACAUCACUAAGUGGGUAUAGCUCAAGAGAAGUACAGUAGAGUGGACACAUGCAAACAAGCUUGAAUGUCCAGAUCCAGAGCCAUUAAAUUUUCUAUAUUUCAGAGCCAUUCUUAAAUGGCUCUGAAAGGAGCUCAAAGACUGCAUCCAGAAUGAGGAGGGAGUCAAGGUAGUGGAAAGUCAUGGAGGCACUGUGGUUUUCCUUUAUUAACCUUACCUAGAUUCCCAUGCCUCUUGUAAUAUUUAGAAAAGGUCUUUGUUCAUGGUUAUGUAUGCUAUCUCUUAGCAUUUCUAAAACUGAAAACAUCUUCACUCAGAAGCAGUGGCAACAUUUAGAGGCUGCUGAACUAAUGACAAGAGAACUCUAAGCUAUCAAGAGAACUCAGGGAGAUUGCUACUGAAAAGAGGCUCCUGGCUCAACCAGCCAGUCACCAGCCAGAACUCUGCUGCUAGAGAACAAGCACCAUUUAGGCAUCCAGUUUCCACAUCCUAUCUGCAUAGCUUCAAUAAAGUG